GACGAACGCUGGCGGCGUGCUUAACACAUGCAAGUCGAACGGAAAGGCCCUGCUUUUGUGGGGUGCUCGAGUGGCGAACGGGUGAGUAACACGUGAGUAACCUGCCCUUGACUUUGGGAUAACUUCAGGAAACUGGGGCUAAUACCGGAUAGGAGCUCCUGCUGCAUGGUGGGGGUUGGAAAGUUUCGGCGGUUGGGGAUGGACUCGCUGCUUAUCAGCUUGUUGGUGGGGUAGUGGCUUACCAAGGCUUUGACGGGUAGCCCGCCUGGGAGGUUGAACGGGCACCUUGGGACUGAGGUACGGAGCAGAAUCGUACGGGCCGCAGUAGUCGGGAGCCUUGCAGAGUGGCGGGAAGCCAGAUGCAGAAACGCCGCGUGCGGGAUGCCCGCUUUCGAGUUGUAAACAGCUUUCGAAUGUGACGAAGAGUGCGUGACGGUACUGAGUCAAAAAGCCACGGCUAACUACGUG
rnacentral:rRNA from 1 species